GCUUUGCGACCCUCACUCACUCGGCAACAAUCAAGGUGGGAGCACAUGGAAAGAAGAUGCUUUUAGAAAGCCACAGACCUGGGUGUGAGUCCAGCUCUGCAGUGUACAAGUUCGUUGGGAAUACUCAGACAUUCUCCAGGCUGCAGCAAUCCAGAGAAGCCAAAUCCCACCAAAUUCCAUCCUGUCUCUGGGGCAACUUUGCCAUGCCACCACCCUCUGAACCCAGCCUGGACUCGUCUGUCCCCCACUCCACCC
rnacentral:lncRNA from 10 species